UGCAGCCAACGCAGCAACAUGGCUGAUGUUUGAUGGGUGCUGUGAGGCUCCUGCUCACCACCUGCUCCAUCACUACCCAAUACAGAGACAAAAAGUAGAAACAUUCAGUAGAAACCAUUUGGCUUAGGAAGAAAAGUGAAAGAAGUCCCAGCUCCAAAUAAAAUUAUCUCUGUACGCUACAUGGCUCUCUAAAAGCCUUAGAGAUCAUCACACCCUUGUUAUCAUAGCAGGAAAACAACCAUGCGAACAACAGUGAGCACUGAAAUAUUUGUGUGUCUGCUAUUGCUGAUCUGCUGAAUAGACAUGAUAGGAUAUGAUGAGAGAGUCAAAAUUCUUACAUAUGGGGGUGAGACAAAGAAGAAAAGGAGCUCCUUUGACUCUCUACUUGUCCAUGAUGGUCUUCAGGAUACUGGGAACGUCACCUUUGUUGCAAACACGAAGCAGACAAAGCGCACCCAAAGAAAGUGGAAGAACUUCACUUACAAGAAGUAUUGUAAGUAAAAUUUAUA